UAAAACGGGGCAUCCAACGGUGUCUAGUUGUUUCAGGCCUCAUGAUUAGAAUUAAGUCAUCUAUUCUUAUGCGCACUCCUGUUGAUGGGAGCCAAAAGUUCCUUUUCCUGGGUAGGAAUCUCUACCUUGCGCAGUAUGUAUGAUGGUAAGUAUCAACAAAAAGAUUCUUACUUCUUCAAAAUGCAUAUAGGAACCACUCUCCUUGCUCUUACAUUCCAUCAGCAGCAGAAACUUCCACUGAAUAUUUGAAGCUGAUCACAAGGGUGUCUUCUGCCCUCAAUGCCUCUACAACACUAAAGAAUGAAAUCCCUUAGCAAUGGAGCAUGGAAGAAACUUCUGGCAAGAGAAUGAAGCAUUUCCUGUAAAACUCUAGAAGCUAGGGAGAGAGAAAAAUCUACUCCAUCUACUGAUGAAAAGAAAAAAAAUAUUAACAUAGAAAACUGCAUACCCGAGUUUGCUUAGUGACUAUUGUGGAAUCAUCUAAACUAAAUGAAUUUUAUUUGGAAGGUUACUGUUGCUUUCAGGUGGAAAAUGAGUUACUUUCGAGCUACUGGGAUGAGCUAAAGUGCUUUGUGUUCUUCACUCCCCUCUCAUACAAACUCAACAGUGAAGAACCCCCUGCCUAACUAACACUUUAAUGAAGCUGAAUGAGUCAGUGAUACUUCCAAUGAGAAUCAUGCAAUCUGCUCUCUUGGGACUACAGAUAUACCUCCAGAGGCACACUUCGACAACUGCUAUUUCUGAUCCAAAUCACAAGUUGAGUAAGGGGUUGGCUUAUGCAAAUGCAGUCAAGGGACAAAAUUUCACGUGUGAAAUACUUAUUCCCACUGGUGGGUAGGAAGGGGGUUACAUGGAUCAAUGCCAAAAUUCCUGGAAGAGGCAACUUUUUCAUUUUUUCAUACAUAUUUUGUUGCUGCUUACCUAAAUUGAUUACUCUGUUCCUUUGACCCCAAAACAAUGUCUUUAUUUUUAUAUAAAUUUGGAGUACUUGAAAAUGGGAAAGUUCUGCCUCGAUGAGACACCUUGAAAGGUAUAUGUCCUUAUCUAGGGUUUCUGGGUAGGUACUCAAGCUGGUUUAGUUACUUGGCAAGAUUCCCAAAAACCUUUAAAUUGUUUUUUUGUUUUGUUUUGCUGCCUUUAACCAUCUGCAAGUUUUACACCUGUCUCUUUCUUCAUCUUUCAUAAAGCUAGUAUAAAUCGGUGCCAUCUGUUAAGUAGACUGCUGUAGAAAAGUUCCUGACUGUCAAGUAUACAUGACAUUAUUUCUGUGGAAAGUGCUGGGGAAACAAAGAAUUCCAGUACCUUAUCAGUGUAUCUCCUUGCCUGCCACAGAAAGGAACACUCAAAUCCAGAUUAUUAGAGAUAAACUGGUUUCAGUUAGGUGAAGCACUACUCCAGAAUAGUUCUUUUGUUUUAAAUCUAAGGUAGCUGCACAACAAGACGUGAAGCAACCCUAGUCAAUAUAAGGCACUGUGAAUUAUUUUUAAACAAACCACGGCAAAUUAAGAACUACCCUCCAAACAACAUCAACAGUGCAUCAAAAACCUAAUGCCAGCAUCUUAUUUUAAAAAUGGAGGAAUAAAAGAGGAUGCAGAAAAUAAAUAAAAACUCUUACUUAUUACAGCUCUGAAUUGUUAGAAUAUAAUUCUAACACUUGAUUCCAGCUUCAUUAAACUAACCAAGCUUAAAUCCCAUAGUUCAGAUGGGACACCAACUGUCUACGUACAUAUUAGGCUGAGACGUUUCGUGAACCUCUCAUUUUGACAUUCUACUUGCCCUUUUAAGUUGUUCUAUUCUCUAUAAAUUGCCUGAACCUUUGUUGGGAAGAGCAGCAUAUAAAUUGCAUGCAUGCAUAAAUAAAUAAAUAAAAGCACCCAAUUGGCAUUACACUUCGGUGACUAUACAGCGGAAUUUCAGCUGUCUGUAUAGGCAGACGUGGAGAAACCAGUCAAAAGCUCAUUUGGUCAAAAUCCCAGUUCUAGUCUUACAUACAUUUUGUAUUGUCUAAGAAGUAUAAAGAAAAAAAGGGGUGUAUGCAUUUUUCUCACUUGGACUGUAAACCUUUUGGAAGAAGACCAUAUUUAGUGCAUCUGGCAGAACAGUUCAGAGCUUUUGUUCAUCAGCAAGAUAUUACAAAUUAAAAUAAUUCUGCAUUAAUACAACAAUAUAGCAUUCUAAAAUCUUAAAACACAAUUAUGCUGCACACUGGAAACUGACAUUCGCUUUGUUACAUUAGCUCUACAAUUCACAAAUUAACUCCAAGGGAAAAAAACAAAACUGUUUUAAAAAUAUAUAAACUUAUGUAGAGAAA